CAGCAGCCGCGGGAAUACGAAGGGUGCAAGCGUUACUCGGAAUUACUGGGCGUAAAGCGUGCGUAGGUGGUGGUUUAAGUCCGUUGUGAAAGCCCUGGGCUCAACCUGGGAAUUGCAGUGGAUACUGGGUCACUAGAGUGUGGUAGAGGAUAGUGGAAUCUCCGGUGUAGCAGUGAAAUGCGUAGAGAUCGGAAGGAACAUCUGUGGCGAAGGCGACUAUCUGGGCCAACACUGACACUGAGACACGAAAGCGUGGGGAGCAAACAGGAUUAGAUACCCGCGUAGUCCCUGUCUCUUAUAC
rnacentral:rRNA from 1 species